GGUUAAGCGACUAAGCGUACACGGUGGAUGCCCUGGCAGUCAGAGGCGAUGAAGGACGUGCUAAUCUGCGAUAAGCGUCGGUAAGGUGAUAUGAACCGUUAUAACCGGCGAUUUCCGAAUGGGGAAACCCAGUGUGUUUCGACACACUAUCAUUAACUGAAUCCAUAGGUUAAUGAGGCGAACCGGGGGAACUGAAACAUCUAAGUACCCUGAGGAAAAGAAAUCAACCGAGAUUCCCCCAGUAGCGGCGAGCGAACGGGGAGCAGCCCAGAGCCUGAAUCAGUAUGUGUGUUAGUGGAAGCGUCUGGAAAGGCGCGCGAUACAGGGUGACAGCCCCGUACACAAAAAUGCACAUGCUGUGAGCUCGAUGAGUAGGGCGGGACACGUGGUAUCCUGUCUGAAUAUGGGGGGACCAUCCUCCAAGGCUAAAUACUCCUGACUGACCGAUAGUGAACCAGUACCGUGAGGGAAAGGCGAAAAGAACCCCGGCGAGGGGAGUGAAAAAGAACCUGAAACCGUGUACGUACAAGCAGUGGGAGCACGCUUAGGCGUGUGACUGCGUACCUUUUGUAUAAUGGGUCAGCGACUUAUAUUCUGUAGCAAGGUUAACCGAAUAGGGGAGCCGAAGGGAAACCGAGUCUUAACUGGGCGUUAAGUUGCAGGGUAUAGACCCGAAACCCGGUGAUCUAGCCAUGGGCAGGUUGAAGGUUGGGUAACACUAACUGGAGGACCGAACCGACUAAUGUUGAAAAAUUAGCGGAUGACUUGUGGCUGGGGGUGAAAGGCCAAUCAAACCGGGAGAUAGCUGGUUCUCCCCGAAAGCUAUUUAGGUAGCGCCUCGUGAAUUCAUCUCCGGGGGUAGAGCACUGUUUCGGCAAGGGGGUCAUCCCGACUUACCAACCCGAUGCAAACUGCGAAUACCGGAGAAUGUUAUCACGGGAGACACACGGCGGGUGCUAACGUCCGUCGUGAAGAGGGAAACAACCCAGACCGCCAGCUAAGGUCCCAAAGUCAUGGUUAAGUGGGAAACGAUGUGGGAAGGCCCAGACAGCCAGGAUGUUGGCUUAGAAGCAGCCAUCAUUUAAAGAAAGCGUAAUAGCUCACUGGUCGAGUCGGCCUGCGCGGAAGAUGUAACGGGGCUAAACCAUGCACCGAAGCUGCGGCAGCGACGCUGAUGCGUUGUUGGGUAGGGGAGCGUUCUGUAAGCCUG
rnacentral:rRNA from 1 species